GAGUUUGUCGGUUGGUCGGGGCUUCACUGUCCGCACUGGCCUGACGGAUUCCUACCUUCUGAAUAACCAGCAUGCUAUUAAGUUAGUGCGUUGGGGAAGCAGAGCUAUUACCUUGAAAAAAUUAGAGUGCUUAAAGCAGGCUUAUGCUUGAAUAGAUUAGCAUGGAAUAAUAAAAUAGGACGGCAUGGUUCUAUUUUGUUGGUUUCUAGGAUCACCGUAAUGAUUAAUAGGGAUAGUUGGG
rnacentral:rRNA from 1 species